ACCAACACGCUAUUUGAACAUCUCUGUGAUGACAGUGUAAUAUUAACUCAUAUUGAAUAGCCACCACUUGUCAAACAAAAAGAUUGAUUGUUGUUGCUUUGUGCGCUUUUAUUGUUGCCUAUAAAAUGGAUUAUUGCAAAGUGAUUAAAAAAAGUGGAUUAUUUUAUUAUCGCCGCAAAAAGUUACUAGCUAAGUGGACGCAAGAGAACAAGUUUUUGUUUGCAGAAUCUCUUCCAAACAAUCAAAUGUCGAGAAUUACGGAGGAAAUGAUUAACGAUUCUACUCCAAAUGUGAGAGACGUAACAGAACAAUUCAUUACUGAAACUUCACAACACGUAUCUGAGUAUUUCAACACUGUGAACCAUAGUGGAGAUUUUUCUUUUGAUAACACCAACACUGAAGACGACUUUGAAAACUCGCUACAAUAUUAUGAUGAAAUUGAUGACAUGAGCCCUGAAAACCAAUCAGUCCCAUGAGUCAAUAAAUUUAAUAAUGGAUAUUAUAAAAAGAAAAACGGAUGGAAAACAAUUGCCUCGUUCUGCGAGAACUCUACUUAAAACAUCUCGAAAAGCAACAACGGACAUAAUUAACGUUGGAGGUGGCCACUGUAUAAUCGACUAUUUCCGUUAUGUUGUAUUGAGCACGCCAUCAGUAUUAAUAUCGAUGGUAUCCCCAUUUACAAAAACAGUAAAUCCCAAUUUUGGCCAAAUAUAUUUAACAUCUCCGAGUUUCCAGAAACAAGACCAAUGACAAUGACGCUCUGUUCUUUGGAAACUCAAAACCUGAGAGCCUAGAAGAAUUUUUAAGACCGUUGGUGAACGAACUUCAAGAUGUGUUGAUGCAUGGGAUUUCGGUUAAUAAUCACCAUAUAACAGUUAGAUUGAGAUGCUUCAUACGUGAUACAUCUG